UUAACUUAUUUAGCUAAUUGCUCAGACUGCAAUCUUCAGACAGCGUUCAAUGGUGUCUUCGGUGCGCGCGGACCCGGGGGCAGAAGCCCCCCGGCGGCCGUGAGGCGGGCGCACCGAAGCAACAAGGUACAAUAAACACGGGUGGGAGGUUGGACCCAGAGGGCCCUCACUCAGUAAUGAUCCUUCCGCAGGUUCACCUACGGAAA
rnacentral:misc_RNA from 1 species